rnacentral:rRNA from 1 species
UACGGAGGCCCCAAGCGUUGUUCGGAUUUAUUGGGCGUAAAGGGUGCGUAGGCGGCAUUGUAAGUCUGGUGUGAAAGGCGUGGGCUCAACCCGCGGACUGCAUUGGAUACUGCGAUGCUAGAGGACUGGAGAGGAGAAUGGAAUUCACGGUGGAGCAGUGAAAUGCGUAGAUAUCGUGAGGAAGGCCAGUGGCGAAGGCGAUUCUCUGGACAGUACCUGACGCUGAGGCACGAAGGCUGGGGGAGCGAACAGG